GAAAGUAGGUACAGAAAUUUCUACAGAAAAGGAGAAGAUGAGAGAAAAGAAACCAAGGGGUUUAGAUGAUGAAGAUGAGGGUAGAUGUGCAAAAAGAAUACGUUUGUCUGAAGAUGCAGAUGUUGAUUCUUAGCGAUUAUACAUUGUCCUCAUUGGACCAUCAUACAUUUCAAGAAGUGAGCCACCUGAAUUCUAUUUAAAAAGAAGAGAUGAACAUGCCAAUGGUGGUCUCUUACCAGUCAAUUUCACUGAAAUAACAUCUAUUGAUAACUCUGGAAGCAUUGGACGUUCUGAGGUCAAGUCACAAAACUUCAAAACACCUUUAUAUGCCUUUGAAGAUAUGGUUGUAAAAUACCUUGCUUUUGACUAUGUCGGUAAUGUUGCUAUCUGUGAAAUCGUCAUAACUGUACCAGACAACACUUCAUCUCAGUUAAGAUCAGAUCACUUCAGAUUGAAAAUACAUGACGUUGUUUCUGUAUUAGUUAGAAAAUUCGGAGCUGAUGGAAUUGCUCCAUAUGUGGCACAAGAUGAUCAAAUUAUGUGCAAAAGACUGAGG